UGUACGUGGUACGAUUGGAACGGGUCACUUUUUGCAACUGCACUCCAUCUUUCCUUGGCAUGCUCGUAUGUUCGACGAGAGUUGGGAUUGUGUGAUGAUGUACAAACUAGUGUAUGUGUCAUCAUGCAGAAAUCCCCUGUGUAUUUGAACGAACAGGUGAUGUCUUCAUUCCCCGUAUUAAGUUUGAUUUCAGAGGAUCUACAUCCAAGACGUGAACUUGAGAAAAUAUUUAUUUAAUAGGAAGACCUUAGCAUUUAGGGUGAUUAUUAUUCAUAGGAAAGGGUAUGGGUGAGUAUUGUAAAUAACAUGAUAUAGAACUGGUGAAACAACACCUAUUUGAGACAUAAAGGUAUAUUAUAGCAAUAAGUUUCCUGACAAUUUACUGAAGCUGUACAUCUUAGACUGUCUCUUUCUCACAAUAUUUAGGUAUGCAAACUGUCCAAAUUUGUGCCUAAACUUAAUUUCGGUUUCAGAUUUUUGGUAAAAGUUUGGGUUCCAAUUCAGGUAAUACUUUUUACGCUAUUUAUGUAUAGGACUAUAUCGCAAGGUUCAGAUGUUUCAGAAGCGGGUUAUUGGGUUUGGGGCGCAGCUGUCAAUUACCUCGAGUGAUUACGCUGAUAUGUUUUGGGGUUUGCACGAUGCAGAAGAGUGGCAGGGGUAUACCUAUGUCUCCUCACAGUUUUCAGUGCAGCACAGUUGUGGAUGCUCCAGCAACUAGUUGUACAAAUAAUGAUCUAAGCUUCCAAAAAGCAUCUGAACCUGAUUUUUAUUGUGUGUUUAUUGAGAGUGUGAGAAAGAUACUAUCCAUAUGUAACCAGUGACAAAACGACUAUUUUAUUGCUCCUCUUUAUAGUUCACUA